GAUGAAGAACGCAGCGAAAUGCGAUAAGUAAUGUGAAUUGCAGAAUUCAGUGAAUCAUCGAAUCUUUGAACGCACAUUGCGCCCGCCAGUAUUCUGGCGGGCAUGCCUGUUCGAGCGUCAUUUCAACCCUCAGGCCCCCAGUGCCUGGCGUUGGGGAUCGGCCUUUACCCGGGCCGGGGACUUCGGUCCCUGAACCCGGGCGGCCGGCCCCGAAAUCUAGUGGCGGUCUCGCUGUAGUCCUCCUCUGCGUAGUAGCACAACCUCGCAGUUGGAACGCGGCGGUGGCCAUGCCGUUAAACACCCCACUUCUGAAAGUUGACCUCGGAUCAGGUAGGAAUACCCGCUGAACUUAAGCAUAUCAAUAAGCGGAGGA
rnacentral:misc_RNA from 1 species